CGGAGGGUGCAAGCGUUAUCCGGAUUUACUGGGUUUAAAGGGUGUGUAGGCGGACUUUUAAGUCAGCGGUGAAAUCUCCGGGCUCAACCCGGAAACUGCCAUUGAUACUAUUGGUCUUGAAUGUUGUUGAGGUGGGCGGAACGGGUCAUGUAGCGGUGAAAUGCAUAGAUAUGACCCGGAACACCGAUUGCGUAGGCAGCCCACUAAGCAACGAUUGACGCUGAGGCACGAAAGCGUGGGGAUCAAACAGGAUUAGAUGCCCUGGUAGUCCACGCCCUAAACGAUGAUUACUCGACGUUGGCGAUACACUGAUCAGCGUCCAAGCGAAAGCAUUAAGUAAUCCACCUGGGAAGUACGUUCGCAAGAAUG
rnacentral:rRNA from 1 species